AGAAUCAACGCUGGCGGCGUGCCUAACACAUGCAAGUCGAACGCGAAAGUCCCGCAAGGGAUAAGUAGAGUGGCAAACGGGUGAGUAACACGUGGGUGACCUGCCUUCGAGUGGGGGAUAACGUCCCGAAAAGGGCGCUAAUACCGCAUGACAUCCUGUCUUUGGAAAGACGGAGAUCAAAGCUGGGGAUCGCAAGACCUGGCGCUUGAAGAGGGGCCCGCGCCUGAUUAGCUAGUUGGUGGGUAACGCCUACCAAGGCGACGAUC
rnacentral:rRNA from 1 species